ensembl:lncRNA
CUGGGAUAUACUUCUCUAUUUAGAAAGUGUUAUAGUUCACUGAAGACUUUUAAUGUUAAAUUUCCCCCUGCUUUGGUUUGAAUUAGUAGUGCUGGCUUCUCUGCCUUUUUAGAAACAGUUCCUGUUUAAAUGGAAUCUCUUUGGCUUAUCAGAGGGAAAUAUUUGAGAAAAUAUUGUGAUAACUGUGAGACCUGGAAAUCUAAUUGCUUUCAUUUUGCAUCUUUCUACAGAUUUUUUUUUCCAGUGCUGGAUAUAUUUGGCUGCAAUAGGGACUGUAGAAUGAAUGACAACUUUGUUUCCAUAAAGCUGGAAGGAGUCAGAUGUUCAAAGUUCAUUAAAGUCUUUUCCUAUCUUAGGAGCUCCACGGAUAUGCAAUAUGAAAAUGUUUUGCAUUUAGAUGAACCAGCAGAACUCAGACAGCAGGAAUUACCCAUACGGAUGGACUAUCGCCACAUCAUCUGGAAAGGCCUCAAUACUGAGCAUGUGUCUCUUGAUGUUCCAUUUCCGUGGAAUCGAUGAGAGGGAUUGGACAUACUGACUCUGCAGUACCAGUCGUCUUUUGUGUCCCUCUGCUUCCUAUGGGACUUUCAGGCAUGGACACUGCAUCCCACCUGCCCAUGAUAUCCUCAGUGUGCUAGAUCAUAGCAAGGCUUACUGAUAAGAGGAAAAUAUGACACUAAAUCGUCUAAUUCUUGAUCGAGGGCAGUUAAACUCACAACUGGCAGCUGCCAUCAUAUCACACUGUGAAUACAAAGGUCGCAGAGAGUCUGAGCAACACUUAAGGUCACUUGUCCUUGAAACAAUUUAUAACGUGGACCCCACACUAGAGGACUGUGUGGAGGUUAUUGGUGUAGUGCUCAUGCAGAGGGCAUGGCAAACAAGGCAGCAGAAACGGAGAAUCUGUGUCCUGGCUUUAGAACAUCUCCUGGCAGAUGUGCUGCUCCCAUGAGAAGCAGUAAGAUGGGUGUGGAGAGAGAGUGGUGUACUUCCAUACCACAGCUUUCAGGUCUUCCUGGGCUGACAAGAGCACUCCUACUGCCAGCAGGCAAAAAGCAGGAGGAGAUUUGGAAAUGGAGCUUCGGUAGUUUGUUCCGCUCAUUACACCCAGUUCUUUCCAGUCAGUUGGUUAUCCAUUAGCUUGGGAAGUACAAAAAUCACCUGGAGGUAUCACAGCUCUUUUAGGGCAUAUUUAGAAGAUGUAUCUCCCUGUUGUUCUCUCCUUCCAUUUGUCAUCUUUCUCAUUACAGAGGAGCUUAUUCGCUAGCCACUUUGCCAACUCUAGGAUUUAUAGCAGCUGAAGAGAGUACUUUAGGCAGGGAGGAGUGACUGCAUUGACCUCGAACUCCCAGAACUCUCCAAGAAGUCAGUGUAUUAAAGAUAAUGAUGUACCAAGGCGAUAAAAUGUAGAGGCAAUAAAAAUGUUAUACAGAUGUUAAUGCAUACAAGCAAAAUACAUAAUAUGAAAAUGGAAAAAGCCCUAAAUAACUACUGGACAUUUUACAUUGUCUUAAAUACACUUCUGCAGCACCUGUGUGGUUCAGUGGCACAAUUUGUCAUGCAAAUCAUGUUGCUUGCCAGAUAAACCAAAUCUUUCUGACAUCCCCAGUCUCAUUUGUGGGACACUGGUGACAAACUUCAAAACUAGGGUGUGGGAGAAAAGUGGAGAAGGGAAACUGAGACCAGCUUAGAAUAUUUUAUUUAAUUUAUGGUGCCUUGAAUUCCUUUUCCUUCUUUUUCCAGUAAUGGAAGAAAGAAAACUCUCCAGUUCUCUGAAGCUACAGCUCUUGAUCUAUGGCCUUUACUUUGGAAAGCACUUAUGUAUGCUUCCAAGUAUUCUUUUCCUUUUUUAAUAGAUGGGACUUAAGCGGAUGUUUAAGUAGUUUGUUUUUGCACUGGUAGUCUUACAAACUAAUAGCUAAUGUUAUGGGUUAAUAUUAUAGCUAUGCUGAAGGGCUGCUGCUGCCUGAGCCCCAGCAAAUGGAAGAUAUGAAGGGAACCAGGAUGUGCAGAAAUGCCUACUCCUGUUGGAAAUAACUUUGUCUUUGCCAAAAAGGGGAGAAUGUGUGAGAAAAGGCUUAUGAUUUCAGCCAGCCUUUCUUUUCAAUGUACUGCACAAAAAAGCACAACAGACCUUCCAUAAAUUAUCAGUUCUUUCCAGUUUUAUUAAACAUAGAGAACCUGUGAUCCUCUUUGUUAAUUCUCUGUGCUGUGUACAGCUAACCCUUUAGUUGUCCUUCACACAUAUUUUGAGAAUAAAAAUUCCUGCAGCUGGAAUACGUCGUAUUGACCAUGUUUUUUGUCCAACAAAGGCUGGAGGAACAUAGAGUUCAAAUGAAUACAUAACGUUUUGUUAAGUUUUUGGCAACUUUACAUGGACAGACUUUAACAAAUGACAAAUUGUGCUUGUCAGCAUAGCAAACUUUGUGCUUCUUAUCAUGUACAGUAUUUCUGAAAAUGGCCAAGAGCAUAACUAUAAAGUGUGUCUGUGUUGUGUAUAGGGUUCUUUGGGAGUAUUAAAAACACAGUGCUCAUGAAUGUAGUUGUUAAUGCUUAAGCUGUAUCUGUUAGUGUGCAAAACCAUAUUUCCUGGUCUAGUAGUAUCUGUGUAAGGAUAGAGGAGUUGCCUGGCACAGUGGAGAUCAGCCUAGUAGGGUGGUGCGAGGCUGGUGGGCAUGUACUGGCACCCUACCAAAUCUUCUGCCUCUGCUGUUGUUGCACACAACACAACUCUGCCCUCUGUAGCUGAUGGCACGUCUGUAUGUGAGCUACCAGGUGUCAGAGCUUCAAAAUGCUGUACAAGAAGAAGAUAAUAAUCUCAAAGGCUAAAAGAGGGCCCAUCUGUUGUCAAUGGGUGUGCCGAGCUCUUUUGCAGCCUUCCGUCUUCCAGAGGACAAAUUACUUUGUUAACUGUUUGCAGCCACCUUAACUCACCUUUUAAAGGAAGAUUUAAAGCUUUUUUAGUUUAACUUUGUAAAAGUUUUUUUUUUUUCUUUGUAAUGUCUUUUUAUGAAUCUUAGAAAAGAAAAAACACUGUUUUGGACUUCAUUUUCUUUACCCUGUGUUGGCUGGUAUUUUGCUUUCACUGGUUUUUGUUUCUUUGGAGUUGACAGUGAGGGCACUGGUGUUCCAGUUUAGAAGUACACCUUGUUACCGAAAUGAUGCUGAUCCGCUACAAAAAUGCAGUUAACAUUUUAUAAACAAACAUUUCCCAAUCAUCAUUUUUCUCUGUGAUUUCACAAUGACAAAGCAUGAGGGUAAACAUAAUAUUAAAAUGGGAAUCAUGAUACUCAUGUCAGUGCAACUGUAAAAGCCUAAUCAGUGAUGUCAAAGUCCUUGAAUUUUAAAUACUAUUAUGAUAUGAUUAUUUUUUGCAACACUAAACAGUUAAAUUUUAUACUUAAACACCAUAUCUUCUUUCACUAGCACAUAAUCUACCAGUCAUAUGUUUUAUGAUGAUGUGAGCAUGUAUCUUACCAGCAAAUGUUCUGGCCAACAAUAGCAUCGUUUUUUCAUAAGUAGGAGGAAAAAUAUUUUAAAAAUAGCUUGAGAUAAACCCAACCAGCAGUAAAAGUCUGAUUGUUAAUGCAGAAGAAAUAUGCAAAAAGUAGAAAAAUGAGUUUUCUCAAUAUAUCCUUUGUGAACACCAAACCGUAAAAUAUCACUAGUUUAUCAACAGUACUAAAUAGUGAUUUUUUAAAAAAUGAAAUAGAAAAAAAAACACUAAAAUACACAGAAAGGUUUACAGAACAAAAUUACGUUAUUUUGUUAGUCAAGAUUGAUAUUCUUUAAUUUCUUUAAGUAGGAAAAAAAGACAAGUUAAUGAUAUAUGAGGCCUACACUAAUAAGCUGGAGAUAAACCGAAAUUUUAAUGCAUAGUCCUGCUGUUCGAACAACACUAAAUGUUCUUCUCUCAUAGUUUAACAGAAAAUGGUUGAUUUUUGGUCUUACUUUCAUGUAAUGUAUGUAUUUAAUGAUGAAAAAUACAGUGUUCAUAACCAUUGACUACAUACCUAUAAACUCAAUUAGCUGUGUAGCUUCAUUCUUUGGGAGUCAGAAGGUGUCCCAGGCUAUAUAAUCUGUUGAAUUGACCCGCUUCAGCAAUACAGAAUUGCUAUCGCUGCUUUGACAAUGAAAGAAAAAUACAGUCCUACUUUAACAGUUCUGAAAAUAUCUUGCUUCCAAUGGAAAUCUUAAGGACUGAUAGGUGAGGAAGCACAGUAUAAUUCUGUGAUUAAAAUACUCAGAGGACACGAAUGGAGACUAUCCUUACUCCUGAUUUUUAUUGUUAUUUAAACAUUGACAACUUACAAAUUUGGGAAUACAAUUAUUUGUUUCAUCAGAAUCCCAUUCCAAAGGAGAACAAUUUUAGAGAAUUGAAUCAUCUUUAAAAUUUGUUAUUCAUUUAGUUAUUGUUAAUAUUAGACAAACUAAUUACAUUGACAGCCCAUGGAAAGAGAUACUCAGGA